rnacentral:rRNA from 1 species
AUUGAACGCUGGCGGCAUGCCUUACACAUGCAAGUCGAACGGUAGCGGGCCUUCGGGUGCCGACGAGUGGCGAACGGGUGAGUAAUGUAUCGGAACGUACCUUUCAGUGGGGGAUAACGUAGCGAAAGUUACGCUAAUACCGCAUAUUCUGUGCGCAGGAAAGCAGGGGACCUUCGGGCCUUGCGCUGAUUGAGCGGCCGAUAUCAGAUUAGCUAGUUGGUGAGGUAAAGGCUCACCAAGGCAACGAUCUGUAGCGGGUCUGAGAGGAUGAUCCGCCACACUGGAGCUGAGACACGGUCCAGACUCCUACGGGAGGCAGCAGUGGGGAGUUUUGGACAAUGGGGGCAACCCUGAUUCAGCCAUGCCGCGUGAGUGAAGAAGGCCUUCGGGUUGUAAAGCUCUUUCGGCCGGGAAGAAAUCGUAUCAGCUAAUACCUGGUGCGGAUGACGGUACCGGCAUAAGAAGCACCGGCUAACUACGUGCCAGCCGCCGCAGUAAGAC